rnacentral:misc_RNA from 1 species
GAAAACCUUACUUUCUUGGCACUCCUUUCAGUACUCUUUGCAGUUGUACAGCCUGAUGCAUUUGCUUCACAACUCAAUUCUGGAUCGUCAGAUUGUUGCUUAUUUGCACUAUUUGCCCUCUUCCUUUUUUCGGACACCCCAUUUCCAUUGACUUCAAGAAAAUCACAGGCGCUUCCAAUGUUCUUAUCCAAGCCCACUUCUGC